AAUGGAGCAGGGCGACCAAGUGCAGCUUGGACCAGGGUUUAUUGAGGGAACUCAAAAAGACAGACUCGGCAAACUGACGUGACUUAACAACAAAACCAACAGGACUGACCGACAAAGACGUGAAACAAAAGACAGGAACCAAACAAACCUCAUGACAGUGAGAAUUGCAUCAUCAUCAAUGCUCCAACAGGGAGUGACACACAAACAGAAUUUAAAUACUAGACAGGUAACAAGAAGCGGGUGAAUACGAUCACACUAAUCAUGGGCACACAGGAAGGGAGGGGCGAGUACACAGACACACGGACAUGAGCACACAGACAGACGGAGACGAUUACAACCUACACACAACAAAACUGGGGACGAGACAUGACAUCCUGAUCCCUCAACAGUGUGGAAAGGUCUGCAGAGCAUCACGGGCUACAAGAAACUGUGGAGAGCCCAAGGCUUGCAAACCAGCUAAACAGGUUCUACUGCAGGUUUGAUCGGUCCUCCCACACAACGGGACUUCCUGCAGCACAAUCUAAAUACUCACCUCUCCCCACAACUGCUCUGUCCACACCUCUAUCAUCGUUGUCACCCACUCUCUCUCUUGCAGAGGCCGCGCCCGCACUCCAGAUCCGCGAGGAGGAAGUGCGCCAGAUGUUCCGGAGACAAAAGACCAGGAAGGCACCGGGCCCAGACGGCGUGUCACCUUCCUGCUUCUGAGCUGAGCAGCUGGCGCCCACCUUUGCACGGAUUUUCAACCGUUCUCUGGAGCUGUGUGAGGUGCCCUCGUGCUUCAAGAGCUCCACCAUCGUUCCAGUGGCCAAGAACCCCGCCAUCACAGGUUUGAAUGACUACAGACCUGUCGCACUGACAUCUGUAGUCAUGAAAUCUUACGAGAGGUUAGUGCUGAACCACCUGAAGGAUGUCACGGCCCCGCUGCUUGACCCCCUCCAGUUUGCCUACCGGGCAAACAGGUCAGUGGAUGAUGCGGUCAACAUGGGACUUCACUACAUCCUGCACCACCUGGACACCCCAGGAACGUACGCCAGGAUCCUGUUCGUGGACUUCAGCUCGGCGUUUAACACCAUCGCUCCUGACAUCCUCCAACAGAAGGUCAUCUAGCUUGCGGUGCCUGCCUCCACCUGUCAGUGGAUCACCAGCUUCCUGACCAACAGGAGACAGCGCGUGACUCUCCUGUGAAGCUCCUGAAGUAUGCAGACGACACCACUCUCAUCGGACUGAUUCAGGACGGUGAUGAGACUGGGUACAGACAAAAAGAGAGGUGGAGCGGCUGGUCCACUGGUGCAGCCAAAACCACCUGGAGCUGAACCCACUCAAGACCGUGGAGAUGACAGUGGACUUCAGGCAAGACCCUUCACCACUUUUACCCCUCACUAUGCACAGUAAUACUAUUCUCUCCACAGACACCUUCAAGUUCCUGGAAAUCACAAUCUCUCGGGACCUGAAAUGGACCGGCCACAUAGACUCUGUCCGGAAGAAGGCCCAGCAGAGGCUGUACUUCCUGAGACAGCUCAAGAAGUUCAACCUGCCGCGAGAGCUUCUGAAGACCUUCUACACUGCCAUCAUCCAGUCUGUCCUCUGCACCUCCAUCACUGUCUGGUUUGGAUCGGCCUCCAAACAAGACAAGCAAAGACUGCAACGGACAAUAAGGACUGCAGAAAAGAUCAUUACGGACUUAAGUAGGAGUCAAAAUCUGGGUGCGUAUUAUACAUGGGUACAGGCUUUUUUCCAGCAUCGUCAUGCCAUUUUUAUGGUGCGUAUUAUACAUGGAGGAGCAUUAUACAUGGAAAAAAACGGUACUCCCCUCCGGUCGGCGUUAUAGAGCUCGGUACGCCAAAACCAGCAGACACAGAGACAGAUUCUUCCCCCAGGCUGUUGCUCUGAUGAACUCACACCACUCUUAUACUGUGCAAUAACAUCCUGCUCUCCACACCUUUUUUGAAUUUGUCUACACCAAUGGUUCCCAAACCUUUGCAGGCUGGCGCCCCCUUGGCUCCCCAGUGAAUUACUAGCGCCCCCCCACAGACACAUAUGGAAACAAACACCUCUUUCUUGAUAUUUGUUAUGCUGCAAUUUGAAAUGAGAAAGGUUAAACACAAAUGUGUAUUUCACAAAUAAAACCCGAUUUAGUAAAAAAAUGUAUUUUUUAGCAGUUUUAACUGUUUCAGCAACAUAGAAUGGUAAAUAAACAUUCCACCAGUAA